rnacentral:rRNA from 1 species
GAUGAACGCUAGCGGGAGGCUUAAUACAUGCAAGUCGAGGGGUAACAUGAGAGCUUGCUCUUGAUGACGACCGGCGCACGGGUGAGUAACGCGUACACAAUCUACCUUCAACAGGGGAAUAGCCUCGGGAAACUGAGAUUAAUACCCCAUGGUUCCUAAGAACGGCAUCGUUCUAAGGAUAAAGUUCCGGCGGUUGAAGAUGAGUGUGCGUCCUAUUAGCUUGUUGGUAAGGUAACGGCUUACCAAGGCGACGAUAGGUAGGGGGCGUGAGAGCGUGACCCCCCACACGGGUACUGAGACACGGACCCG